CACGUCAAUCCCUUGUCUACAGGGGCAGUUCCAACAGUUGAAAAAUAUCGAAUUUGAGCCGAUGCCUAAAUACUCUGUCAAUGCCGGAUACUACUUCUAGUAAAAUUAUUAAGAAUAAGAAAGUAUGCAAGAAAAAUUGAAACACGUUUUGCCACUGUCCCCUUUGUAUUGAUCGCUACAAUUAUUUCUAAUUUCUCCUCAAUGAGUAGAAAAAAACUAUUGAAAACAUCCUGUGUAAGAACUGUCUCUGGUCUUUCCAUCUUAAUGAGUGGUCCAUAGUAAUAUGAACACUUACUAAUUCAGUAAUUAAUCAAGUCGAGAAAAUGACACUUGAGCGUGAUCGACGAUUUUCCAUUAGUGCACUCCAUGCAAUUGGGCGUUUCCAUGAUCAUCGUCUACACCAUCCAAAAGUACAAAUUUUGGAGAGGAGGAAGGACUAUGUCAAAAAGGGCAAACUGGACUCGGAGGACUUAAAAAACCAGUGCAGACCAAUCCCCUCAAGUCCAUAUUUGCCCAUGCAUUUCGUGUUCAUAAUCCAAACAUCGAGGUCUUCUUUUUGUAACUGUUCCCCUCACUUACAGCCCUCAUGCCUAGUCCCUCUACUAUUCCUCUUGAUUGAGUGUCGAGGCAAAGGUCUGGAGUGUCCGUCAUCCAAAAUACCGGGACCCUUAAAGCCUCUUUCAGCCAGCACUGGGACGCCAUGAUAGAUAGUUACCUCUGCAGCAGGUGUCAGGCCUUCCACCACUGCCUGGAAGCCAUAAUUGCUGCUUAGGGGGGCUACAAUAAUGAAUAAGACAGCUCAGAUACAUCUCAAUUUUAAUAUUAAUUUAGUUGGAAUUAAUUGUCUAAAUAAGUGCCGUUAUACGAGGUACCAAAAGAUAACAUUUAUUUUCAUUUGAGGAAAGUUAAAGAAAAAUUGUUAAAGUAAUGUUGCAUAAUAUAUGUUUCAUCUAUCAUACUAAACAUAAAAAUCCUGUAAAUGGGUUCAAGUUGAUAAUUUUAAAGAAACAACAUAACAACUUUCUUUUUUCGACAUCUUACAGAUUUUCAAAUCAGAACGCGUCCAUGAAGAAGCAUGGACUUUUGAUGGUUAUUUUCUUGUUUAGAGGUAUAAAAUGCAAAAAAUAUAUGACGAUACCAAAUUCCCUAACUUUUGUUAUUACGGUACACCCUAUUCUAGUCGUAUAUCUAUGAUAAUUGUGCAUGCCUUGGGGAUGAUAAAGAAAAAGAAACCAAAAAUCAAUAUGGUAACACUGACUAUUAGAAAAUUCUUUUAGAGGAGAUCCGCUAGAAUUAGCUGUGACAGGGGGGGGAUAAACAUCAACAUUUGCUAUAAUUACUCUGAUGUUAAUCUGGUCAAUAGCAGAGACCAAGGUUGUCCCUAGGUCAAUAUAUAAGAUAACAUUGCUGUUAUCGUUGGAGGGAAUGACGUUGAACACCUUCUGUGUAGUAUUGUCUCCCUGGUUGUUUAAGUCUACAUUCAUUUUGUGCCUAGUGGACUGUCCAUGCUGUUCUAGGAUGGCUUGGACAUUGAACGGAAAAACUAAUAGUGUUUACGCUUUCCGUUCAUUUUUUGAACAAACGAACGACGAACGGGGAAAAAAUGAAUAUUGACGUUUAUUUUCUUAUUAUUCUAAGGGGUCGCUUUUUGACUAUUUAUUCGGAAGAUUAUUAAAUCUUUUUUUACUUGGUUAUGGGUAUAAUUGUAAUUAUUAUCCAAGUGGGACGGAGAUUGGCAGAAGAGAUAAUUGGCAGACAUCACAACAUUAAUAAAUAGAAUAAACGAAGUAAUAAAAAUUGGCUGAAGUUAUUGGUAGUUCAAUAGAAGGGGAUAUGAAUUCAUAACGAUUGGAAGACGCCCAUAUUUAUUCACUGAAAUGACCACAAAAAUAGGGGAUUAAGAGAUCUGUACUUAUAGCACCUAUGUACACAAGUGUGAUGUUUAUAAACCAAUAAUAGAAUAUACCUGAGAGGAUAUGAUAUAAGGGGUCGGGAUCGCAUACUCGUUGCCGAAAGAAAUAAGGUGGAGGUAGGAGAACAGUGUUUAUUGAAGAAGUCGAGGCACAGCGUGCAAGUGAGAUGCUGAUAUAAAAUCAUAACGUAAAUACACAACGUCACCUCCCAUCAACAAUCCAGCAAAGUCGGAGUUGAUUGAUGUGGCGUGUUUUUCAUAUACACGUUAAUAAUUACACUCCAAAUAGAUGUUCCUAUUUUCUCUAUCGUAUUGCCGGGGACCCACAUAGGCAUACGAUAGUUAUAACUCUUAGACCAUACAUAAAAUUGCUCCUUAAUAGGCUCUUUAGGUGAUGAGGUAUUGGUAUGGAGGUAUCCAUACAGAUGAGUUCGCAUUGGCCUUGAAAAUAGGAUUUGUGGAGGUGAGUUUGCCGUACGACAGAGAACGGUACGUGAAGAGAAGGUCAUCCAGUGAUGUUCCAGUAUUGUUCUGCGUGAGAUCUUUGAUGAUCCUCAUUGUGUAUGCUACGGGUCGGCCUUGCAUGUAAAUAAGGUUACUCUGGAAAAAUAUGAAUGUUCAGCUGUUUUUUAAAGGAGGGAGGCUGUUAUAA
rnacentral:lncRNA from 1 species